CGACCUGCAGCCGGGCGCGAAUUCACUAGUGAUUCGUAUUACCCCGGCUGCGGCACGGAGUUAGCCGGGGCUUUCUUGGUCAGGUACCGUCAUUAUCUUCCCUGCUGAAAAGGGCUUUACAACCCUAAGGCCUUCAUCACCCACUCGGUAUUGCUGGAUCAGGCUUUCGCCCAUUGUCCAAUAUUCCCCACUGCUGGCUCCCGUAGGAGUCUGGGCCGUGUCUCAGUCCCAGUGUGGCUGAUCAUUCUCUCAAACCAGCUACAGAUCAUUGGCUUGGUAGGCCAUUACCCUACCAACUACCUAAUCUGGCGCGGGCUCAUCCAUCACCGAUAAAUCUUUCCUCCAAAGAGAAUAUACGGUAUUAGCAAUUAUUUCUAAAUGUUAUUCCGUACUGAUGGGCAGAUUCCCACGUGUUACUCACCCGUCUGCCACUAAUUUAUUUAAAGCAAGCUCUAAAUAAAUCCGUUCGACUUGCAUGUGUUAAGCAUACCGAAAGCGUUCGUUCUGAGCCAUGAUCAAACUCUAAUCGAAUUCCCGCGGCC
rnacentral:rRNA from 1 species